UGCAGGGAAGAGGAAGGAGGAUGUGCGUGGACCUUUCUCUUCCUAUUGGUGCUAUGAGAUUUGUGAUAGAUGCCUGGAUGGCGGGUGGAUUCAGGGUUGGAUUUUCAAUUUACGGGAAUACAUAAAUUCUUAGAUGAGGAUGCGUAUGCCACAAGCUGUGCCAACUUCAAAGCUCAAAAACCCCUGUCUGGGGCGAUUCGGGAGAGGCAUUGCUGAUUGAGAGGGGAAAGGGGGAGAGAUGAUGACCCAAGGGCAUGGAACAACAAUGCUUAAAGCGUACUGGAGGCUGAGUAUGUUGUCUGUGCAAUGGUAUGAGCUUGGUAAAGGAAGCUCAUGGUAGCUACUUCAUUAUUGGGAGGCCUUCACUUUCUCCUUUUUCAUGUCUAUACAUAGACAUACAUUCCGUUAUGACAGAAAAAUGGUGUCUGCAUUUACCCAAACAAACUGUGACUGCAUUAGCUUCAGUCAUCACUGAAUUACUAGAGAAAAA